CGAGCCAACAGAAGAUCGCACGACAGGCCAGAGACUUGUGCACACGUGACUUCGUGCAUCGCGGAAUAUGCAUAAGAUGUGCAAGUGCUGCGCGAGUCCAAAGAAAAAGAGGAAACUUUAAACUAGGCGCGCAUUGGCGUGGUAGAAGUGGACGAAGUGCAGCGUGAUCUCGCUCUUCAUCAACUCUCGUAAUCGUACUCCUUAAGUUGGAAAGUUCGUUUAACGUGUAACGCGAAAUAAUGGAGAAUUUUUUUGGAAGAGAUUUGGAAGUUUGGCGUGAUUCUUUUUUUUUUUUUUUUUUUUUUUUUAUUAGAUCACAAGAAGAUUUACAAGAAGAAAAUUAUCAUGGAUGGGUGAUUGCAACGAUGCUCCUCUUUUCCAUUUUUUAUUUAUUCUCUUUCGAACGAAAUUACGUAUCGUCGAAGAUAAUUAAAAUUUGAAACGUAUACCG